rnacentral:misc_RNA from 1 species
GAUGAAGAACGCAUCGAAAUGCGAUAAGUAAUGUGAAUUGCAGAUUUCAGUGAAUCAUCGAAUCUUUGAACGCACAUUGCGCCCGCUAGUAUUCUGGCGGGCAUGCCUGUUCGAGCGUCAUUUCAACCAUCAAGCCCUAGGCUUGCGUUGGAGCCCUGCGGCUGCCGCAGACUCCCAAAUCCAGUGGCGGGCUCGUCGUCGUACCGAGUGCAGUAAACAUCCUCGCUCAGGGAACGUGACGGGUUCUUGCCGUGAAACCCCCCACAUAUCAAGGUUGACCUCGGAUCAGGUAGGAAUACCCGCUGAACUUAAGCAUAUCAAUAAGCGGAGGA